AGAGUUUGAUCCUGGCUCAGGAUGAACGCUGGCGGCGUGCCUAAUACAUGCAAGUCGAGCGAACGGACGAGAAGCUUGCUUCUCUGAUGUUAGCGGCGGACGGGUGAGUAACACGUGGAUAACCUACCUAUAAGACUGGGAUAACUUCGGGAAACCGGAGCUAAUACCGGAUAAUAUUUUGAACCGCAUGGUUCAAAAGUGAAAGACGGUCUUGCUGUCACUUAUAGAUGGAUCCGCGCUGCAUUAGCUAGUUGGUAAGGUAACGGCUUACCAAGGCAACGAUGCAUAGCCGACCUGAGAGGGUGAUCGGCCACACUGGAACUGAGACACGGUCCAGACUCCUACGGGAGGCAGCAGUAGGGAAUCUUCCGCAAUGGGCGAAAGCCUGACGGAGCAACGCCGCGUGAGUGAUGAAGGUCUUCGGAUCGUAAAACUCUGUUAUUAGGGAAGAACAUAUGUGUAAGUAACUGUGCACAUCUUGACGGUACCUAAUCAGAAAGCCACGGCUAACUACGUGCCAGCAGCCGCGGUAAUACGUAGGUGGCAAGCGUUAUCCGGAAUUAUUGGGCGUAAAGCGCGCGUAGGCGGUUUUUUAAGUCUGAUGUGAAAGCCCACGGCUCAACCGUGGAGGGUCAUUGGAAACUGGAAAACUUGAGUGCAGAAGAGGAAAGUGGAAUUCCAUGUGUAGCGGUGAAAUGCGCAGAGAUAUGGAGGAACACCAGUGGCGAAGGCGACUUUCUGGUCUGUAACUGACGCUGAUGUGCGAAAGCGUGGGGAUCAAACAGGAUUAGAUACCCUGGUAGUCCACGCCGUAAACGAUGAGUGCUAAGUGUUAGGGGGUUUCCGCCCCUUAGUGCUGCAGCUAACGCAUUAAGCACUCCGCCUGGGGAGUACGACCGCAAGGUUGAAACUCAAAGGAAUUGACGGGGACCCGCACAAGCGGUGGAGCAUGUGGUUUAAUUCGAAGCAACGCGAAGAACCUUACCAAAUCUUGACAUCCUUUGACAACUCUAGAGAUAGAGCUUUCCCCUUCGGGGGACAAAGUGACAGGUGGUGCAUGGUUGUCGUCAGCUCGUGUCGUGAGAUGUUGGGUUAAGUCC
rnacentral:rRNA from 2 species